rnacentral:rRNA from 1 species
AACGCGAAGAACCUUACCAGGAUUUGACAUGCCCCUCGCGGACACUUGAAAGAGAAGUCCUUCAGCUCGGCUGGAGGGAGCACAGGUGCUGCAUGGCUGUCGUCAGCUCGUGUCGUGAGAUGUUGGGUUAAGUCCCGCAACGAGCGCAACCCUCGUCCUCUGUUGCUAACAGGUUAGGCUGAGCACUCUGAGGAAACUGCCGGUGAUAAGCCGGAGGAAGGUGGGGAUGACGUCAAGUCCUCAUGGCCCUUACAUCCUGGGCUACACACGUGUUACAAUGGCGGUGACAAUGACGCUGCAAACCCGCAAGGGCUAGCCAAUCGCAAAAAGCCGCCUCAGUUUGGAUUGUACUCUGCAACUCGAGUACAUGAAAUUGGAAUCGCUAGUAAUCGCGGAUCAGCACGCCGCGGUGAAUACGUUCCCGGGCCUUGUACACACCGUAGAGAC